rnacentral:lncRNA from 1 species
CAGAGAGUUCCUGUCCCAGAUUCCUCCGGUCAAGUCACAUGAGAUGCUCUCUUCAGUCCGGGGCUUGGUUGAACGGACUCACCAGGAAACGUGACUUUCGUGUCCGACCUCUGCUGUAUCAGGAUUCGAUUCUUGGUGUUAAACAAGACAACGCUGAAGGCUCGGUGCAGCAGCCCUGCAAAGGUUUUUCCAGCGCUCUUGGGAGGUGGGCUGUGCCACUGCCUGGCCCACCUGGCCCACCUGGCCCACCAUUACCUGAAGGGAAGCAUGAACAGCCUUUGACGUGGGAGUGGCGACUGCUGAGAGGGAACUGUCUGUACACAAGCAAUGUAGCCUUAUGGGACCUGAGUGGAGCCCCAACCCACGCAGGGCGUGUCUUCAUGGCUUUUCCUGGCCAAUCUGAUACCAAGAUGCAGUGGCCAGAAGUACCUGCACUUCCACUCCUGUCAAGUCUCUGCAUGGCUAUGGUGAGGAAGAGCUCUGCACUGGGCAAGGAAGUUGGCCGUCGAGUGAAGGAAAUGGUGAUGCUGGUGGCCCCUUUCCGGCAGUCAAGUUCCCUAUCAAGGACAUUCAGUUCUCGGAAAGUGGUGAAGGCACAUGCUUCCCUGCAUGGUGCCCGCCUCUCUCCACUCUCUAGAAAUAUUAGAGGCUAGGCUGCUGCUGUAUGUCAGGGCUAGUCCCUCUUCUAUGAAUCCAGAAUAACUCUGAAGAAGCCGAGUAACAGGCAUGAAGUGAAGAGAAAUCGCUGUAACAGGAAGACAGCAAAGCAGAUGCUAAUGACCACACUAUUUAACGAACUGGAACCAACGAGAAAAUACGGUAUUACUGAAGACUGCACUUCCUUGAACAGAGUGCUCUUCUCAGCAAAUCGGAAAUGCCUACACAAAUCGCUUUACAAGAAAGACUGUUUCAAAGCAGCACCUUUCUCAAUGUUCUCGUUCAGGUGACAAUUCUUCUUGGUCUCAGCUCCAAUUUUAUUGUCAUUUUCAUCAAUAAGGAUACACAUCUCUGCCAGGAGUUGAACCUGUUGCUUGUCGAGGUGGUUAGUGUUUAUUUCAGGCAUCAUUACAAAAUGUCUGAUCUGUUCUAGAACACUAAUAUUAAAGGAAAAGAGAAAGAAAGGCCAUCAUAUAUUUUUCUGAAUGUCAUAUAAACACAGGUUAAUAAUGAUGCUGCUUCCCCAUCUGCAGUUGUACCACUCUGCAUCCCCACAGGGACCCCAAGAACGCUGCCAGCCGGCUGCUCAGCACUAUCUGGGUCAUCAUUUCUCCUACAGGUUUCACAGCUGGCCUUUUAUCACAGUCAUGCUCCUGAAGGCCAAGCUCAACGUUCCGCUCUAAAUUCUUGACCUCUGAGAUCCUCUGCAGCACUUGAUACUCAAUCCUUUUUCCAGUGUACUUUUCUUCUCUGGUUUUUGGCCCCAACCUAACUUUUCAUCCUGCUUUUCUACACCAGCUUCUGUAAUCUCUAGAAUGUGCUCCCAUUGCCAUCCUGAAUUGUUUUUCCCACUGCCUGUCUCUGCAUAGUUGCUCAAGAUUGCCACAGGCCAAUCUUGGUUGAAAUCCAUUUUUUCAAGGCACAACUCGUGCCAGACAUUCAAUAACCUUUCUACCAAUGUCACAGUAAGACUUAAUCCAGUUUUUCUCAACCCAAGCUCCUGGGUUAUCAGAAAAAUUAUUUGUAUGAGUUUUGUCAAUUUCCCCCAGGACAGUACUUAGCUGAUAUCAUUCUAGAUAAACAGGAGAAGACUUAAUUCGUUAUAUUCAAUAGAUGCUUUAAGGCAGUGCUUGGCAAGUUUUUUCUGUGAAGGGCCAGAGAGUAUGAACUCUGCCUCUGUAACACUAAAAUAGUCACAGGCAAUAGGUGAACUGGGCAGUAUGUAAACUGAGUGUGGGUGCAUGCCAAUAUUUAUGGACACUGAAUUACAUUUAAUUUUCAUGUGUCACAAAAUAUUUUGAUUCUUCUCCAUCCGUUUAAAUAUGAGAAAAACACUCAGCUCACAGGACGUAACAACAGGCAGCAGGCCAGAUUUGGCCUAUAGGCCAUAGUUGGCCCAUUCCUACCUUAGUGCAUCAAACAUUAAUUUUCUGAACCCCCAUUUAUCCCUCCCAUGUGAUUACAACGUAAAGCACUUAUUAGGGUACUUUCAGUAUUCUGACUCACACUUUUA